CGGAAACUUUCUCUCUCCAGAAUAGUAUUGCACAGAGCUCGGUGUUCAAGAGUGAAAUCCCAUGGCACUGCAGGUCCCCACGCAUCAACCUCUCCAUAUUCCCUGCCAGUCAACGUUCUCUGGUUUUGGGGAAGACUUCUUCCACAUGACAUGAACAGAGAGGAAUACAUUCAGGGAGACUGGAAACAUGAGCAUGAACGUGAUCACUAACUCGGCAUUCCAAAAACGUGUAAAGAACUGAGAAGAGAGCCUGGAAACCGGUUUGAACAUCGUGUUGUUGGUAAAGUCAGCUAUUCCAUCUGUCAGUAUUCACAUCAUACAACACUGCAGGUAGGUACCAGGCAGGUGUCUCCAUCAGUGCCCUCACUUGGUUAUGUAUACAUACACAAAUCCACAGCAGGAAAUGAUGAACUUAAUAGGAAACCAGUAAGUUCCAAAAAACACCAUGGCCUUUAAUCCUUUAUACAGCACUCCUAAAAUGAAGAACAGAUUCAUAGCUGGCAGUUGCUAAAAAGGAAAAAAAAAAAA